GUACAAUACAAACAUCCAAACGGAGCCUUUAGGCUAUUCGGCUCGCUUGGCGCUCCUCUCUCUCGCUCGAAGACGCAGGCGGAACCCUACCUCGUCGGCGGCGGCUCAGGUUUCGCAGGUGCACCCGAGCUUCGGCGACCACUUCCCGAGCUCCGGCGACCUUCGUCCGCGCAGUUGGAACUACAUAUAAUCGAAGAAAAAAUUGCCAAUGAUGGAACAAACAUGUUCCAUCGUUGACAGCUAUCCUCGUAACUUUCAGCGGUUUACAUGGAGGGAACAGAGAAAUGAUCAAAAUAUCAAAAUAUUGUCACCAAUCUACCGUCAGCGUGGUGAUACCUGUGCAAUGUUCAGCAUAGGGGCAUCGUUUGAAGCAAAGUUAAAAAUUAAAGGAACCAGUGUCAUUCUAUCUAAGGUUCAUUUAGAGAGGUUGAAUUGUUUAGCUAAAAUAAGGGAACUUAGGAGAAAAAGUCGAGUUCCAAGAAUACUGGUAGAGUUGAUUGAAAAAGGAGUAUGCUCAGAGCACGACUAUGAACUUGGGCUAACUGGCAGAACCUACAAAAUCAGAAGCUUUGAAAUGUAUGAUGUCAGAGAUCCAGUCCAACUCUCGAGAGCUUUGAAAAGAUUGACUUCUGACGGACCUUUGGUAGCUGUGAUGAAAAUAAGUACCAACUAUUGGUCAUGUUGGACAUCAAAACACAUAUACAGGUUUGAUCCAGAUCAUCCAGUACAGGAAACAGUAGGAGAUACAACACGCACUGCCACCCAUGCCGUUUCGGUAGUGGGGUUUUCCUUGGAAGAAUCAGUACCAUGUCUUGAGUGCCAGGACUCACGCGGAACAGAAUUUUCAAGAAAUGGUUUUCUUUCUGUUGAUAUCACAUCAAUCAUUGAGCUUGUUAGUUUUGUUAUAUGUUGAAAUGAGAUGGUGCUCCAUUUGCUGCUAGUGCCGUAGGUAUUCCCCAAUUUCUUGGAUGCCGAUAAAGCUGUACUUGGGGAUGCAAGAUACAUAGUCUGGUGCGAUUUCUUGGACAGCAUGGCCUUGUAUCCACCAGCUUUCCCAAAAUUUUGCAGUCUGGCCAUUGCCAAGGGUCACGGUCGUUGAGGCAAACUCUCUCAGCGGUGAAUUGCAGAUCAAGGCUAGACCAAACUCGGUUAUUAUCACUGCUGCUCAGCCAUUGGCAGCACAUGCGAAGGGCCAAGCUUGUGUGCUUCAGGUCUUGGACUCCGAGGCCGCCAUGCGUGGUUGGCCGUCACACUCGCCGCCAAUUCACAUGGCAACUUCUGCUGUUGGCUGCGGCGCGCCCCUCCUCCAUCAGCUUGAAGGUCUUCUUCGCGGGUGCCAGCACAAGCAGUUGGUGAAUGGGGAUUGCACUCAGGACGGAUUUGACCAGGGCAAUCCUUCCAGGCUUUUGCAUCAGCCUUGAUUUCCAUGUAGGCAGUUUGUUAGUCAUGCUAUCGACGAGGUUGCAUCUGGGCGGCAGUUGGGCACCGGAUUGUCAGUGGAAUCCCAAGGUAGGAGAAAGGGAAUUGGACCACGGGGCAGCCAAGAAAUUGGGUCGCAGGCGUGGUUUCUUCAUCCUCGCAGCGAAUCAGAGUGGCAGAGCUCUUAGUAUAGUUGACGCGGAGGCCUGAAGCAUGGGCAAACAGUGACAGAGUCUCCCUGAUUGUCAUGGCAUUGUGGAUCGUGUCAUCCGCGUAGAGAGAUGGAAGGGCUUGUUUUACGGUACCUUUUACCACUCCUGAAGAGGGAGAGCUAUGAUUUGAGGCAACUGUCAAGAUUAAGCGGCGCAGAUUGGCCCUGGCAGCCUAGCAAGACGUAGAUAAUGAAAAAAAAAAUCAAAAUAGUAGUAUUUGUCCCAGCCAACGCAUUGGUUGCCCAUGGACGUAACGCCACCAGCGGGUGACGCCGCUGACACAUUGAAAGACACCACCACCAGCUCUGCCCCGUCCAGCAUCGCCAGCCACCGGCGCCGCCACCAGCUUGGCCCUGUUGUGCAUCGCCGACGACUGAGGCCACUGCAACAUCUAGCGAUGCGGCUGACACAUUGAGCGAUGCCGCCACCAAUUUCGCCAGCCAAAGCAACACGAACUCCAUGGGAUUCUGCUUCCCUGUGUGCGUUCUUGCGUUCCGAUUUGCAGUGCUGGACGCAGGCACGUUUCUCUUUCAAUGUGAUAGAUAGGUCCAACUGAAAUUUCAAGCUCAAGCAGAUGAUUGAAAAACUCUUGUCAUGAGGAAAAGGAAAAUGCAAAGUUGAACGAAACUUGGAACUGAUGCAGCUCAAAUAUGCUUCUCGUGAAAAUGUCUUCAGAACACUUUAGGAUAAAGUUAGAGUGCUGGAGAAUGGAUAUAGAUAAGAAGGCUGAAGGGAUACAGGUAGAUCCACGAGGCCAUCACUUGCCGCUCCCGUGAGGCAGAGACCGCCACUUGCUCCUAUGAGGCAGAGACCGCCACUUGCUCCUAUGAGGCAGAGACCACCACUUGCUCCUAUGAGGCAGAGACCACCACUUGCUCCUGUGAGGCAGAGACAAGCAAGCAACAACAUGCAGCCACUGCCAGGUCCUUCCAGACUGAGGCUUGCUGGUACGGGAACUUCAGUUCAGAACAAAGAGAUCAUCCCUGUGAUGAACAAAGCAGUUGUAGACAAGGCUGAAAGAGAGCGGAUCUCCGUAUGUCCUGACAAGAGGCCAAUGUCUCGACUGUCCCAUAUCCAAAUGCCAAGAAGAGUCCGGGCUACAUAUAAUUCAAUUCAACAAGCAGCAGCAGAACCAGCAGCUGAUGCAACUCCUGAUGUCAGAGGAAAGUUCAAAGGACUCUAGUUCGGCAGCAGCAGUAAGUUCUCAAGCCCUCUAAUGUGGAAGUCAAGGAACAAUAUUGCAGGUUCUGGAAAUGCCAGCAAGCUAUGCUUCAGUAUCCUGAAAAGAUUAGCUCUUGGUUCACCUGCUCAACCAUGAACUCCCUUGAUGUCUGGUGCUGGCUGAAUCUUCGAUCCAGCUCUGUGUGACCAAAUAAUGGCAGGGAGACCCUGGAAUGCGCAGCAGGUGUUCAACUCCAAGAGGAGAAUGCCGGUCUGCUUGUUUUGGAACUGAAGAUGGGUAAAUGUUUGGAAUGUUCAAAUUGUUGUGGAACCGGGACAUUGCUUGGAGAAGACCAGUGGCUGGGGUCUUGUGCUGAUAAGAAACUUGUAUUAGGGUUCUUUUUGGUGAUGAUAAAUGUUUUACUUUUAGGGUUGUGUAUAGUUUGUACCCUGAUGGGUUUGUUGGAUUAGCUAUUGGCAUAUGUGCAGUUUAUUUGAUAAUGUGCAGCGGAUUGAUGGAAGACCAUCUAUGUGUUUUGUCAUAUGAAACUGAAAUUCUGAAACUUUCUCCUGAUGUGUAGGAGCAGAAGAUGUCAUUGCCUGUCGCGCACCCCAGAGACUGUCGGAAGGUCAUGGCAGGGAUGCCGGCGUCGACCGCAGCCCGUCGUGCGAGCAUGAGAUAUUGAUUUCAAUUAGAAAAUCUUAACAAUGUAAAUUAUCCUAUCAGUUUGAGCAUGAGCAUGGUUAUGAA